rnacentral:piRNA from 1 species
GGGACAAGGACCUGGGUGCUGCAAACAGGA